GACGAACGCUGGCGGCGUGCUUAACACAUGCAAGUCGAACGGUGAAGCGCCUUCCUUUUUGGUGGGUGUGGAUGAGUGGCGAACGGGUGAGUAACACGUGAGUAACCUGCCCCCUUCUUCUGGAUAACCGCAUGAAAGUGUGGCUAAUACGGGAUAUUCUGGGUCUGUCGCAUGAUGGGUCUGGGAAAGAUAUUGUUUCGGUGGGGGAUGGGCUCGCGGCCUAUCAGCUUGUUGGUGGGGUGAUGGCCUACCAAGGCGGUGACGGGUAGCCGGCCUGAGAGGGUGGACGGUCACACUGGGGCUGAGACACGGCCCAGACUCCGACAGGAGGCAGCAGUGGGGAAUAUUGGACAAUGGGCGCAAGCCUGAUGCAGCGACGCCGCGUGAGGGAUGGAGGCCUUCGGGUUGUGAACCUCUUUCGCCAGUGAAGCAGGCCUGCCUCGUUUGUGGGUGGGUUGACGGUAGCUGGAUAAGAAGCGCCGGCUAACUACGUG
rnacentral:rRNA from 1 species